AUGUUUUCUGCAAGGAUGUUGUGUAAAUGCUCCUAUGAUUGCAGUUGCUGAUUACACCAAUGGAUCUGAAGGAUAUAUGUAUAAUUACUAUGAAGAUGUUACUACUCAACGAGUUGUUGAGAUAGUUGAGAUAGUUGCAAUGGGAUUUUGCCAAGAGAACUGAUGCCUCAAAGUGUUACUGCAAGGCUUCCAACCUCAGAGGAGCUCGAUGCCUAUGCACAUGAGCAAUGGGAGGACAAGCUGAAAAAUCAACGAGCUUCAGCUCUUCCAUGAUGUAAAUUUUUCAGCGUGGUCUUUUGCGUCAGAGAGAUAAAGAAACUCCAAGAUUAACUGAGAGUGGUUUCCAGUUCUUGGUAUGCAUCAUGAAACUCAUGGCCCUUUUGCCUCUUUUCUGUGUAAUUAUAAGGAAAUCUACAAGAACUUCAGUCAUUGUUAGGCAAGCUGAGCGAGAUGCGAUACGUGCUGCUCUGCAGGCAACAAUGAA